AUUGAACGCUGGCGGCAUGCUUUACACAUGCAAGUCGAACGGUAACAGGCCUUCGGGUGCUGACUAGUGGCGAACGGGUGAGUAAUGCAUCGGAACGUACCCAGAGGUGGGGGAUAACGCAGCGAAAGCUGUGCUAAUACCGCAUGUGAUCUGAGGAUGAAAGCGGGGGACCGAGCAGCAAUGUUUGGCCUCGCGCCUUUGGAGCGGCCGAUGUCGGAUUAGCUAGUUGGUGGGGUAAAGGCCUACCAAGGCGACGAUCCGUAGCUGGUCUGAGAGGACGACCAGCCACACUGGGACUGAGACACGGCCCAGACUCCUACGGGAGGCAGCAGUGGGGAAUUUUGGACAAUGGGCGCAAGCCUGAUCCAGCAAUGCCGCGUGCGGGAAGAAGGCCUUCGGGUUGUAAACCGCUUUUGGCAGGAACGAAACGGUGUCCGCUAAUACCGGGCGCUAAUGACGGUACCUGCAGAAUAAGCACCGGCUAACUACGUG
rnacentral:rRNA from 1 species